rnacentral:tRNA from 1 species
UCCCUGAUAGCUCAGUUGGUAAAGAAUCUGCCUGCAAAGCAGGAGAUUCCGGUUCAAUUCCUGAUUGGGAAG